ensembl:lncRNA
GUAACCUAACUGCAAGCGAUUUUUAUACACCAGACAGCACUUACACAGCUUAUAUAUUUAACGAGACCAGCAAGAAGCUCAUGGUAUUCUUAAGAGUUAUUUUUGCUCAGAACAGCUCAGAACAAAGCAUGAGAGAGGCACGUCUGGCAUGGAGAUGCUUUCGUGCAGCUCCGUCCAAGAGGCACGCGUUUUACGGGACAAGUUCAAGUGCAGCCCGAGAUGUUCCGGUGACAGAGCACCAGGGUCUCAGACAUAACGUGCUGAACGUUGCUUUGGGCCCUGGGCUGCUCGGGUGGAGCCCUUUGAUUUCAUCUGAAGCAUUCAGAGAAAAAGCCCUGGUGGUAUCGGCUUCCCAUUUCGCAGCGCUCUUUUUCCGAAGCAGCUGAGUGUGCUGGAGAGACAGACUCGCAGCGCAGAAACACAUGGGGCACGCCCUCUGGGAUUUUUCCGUUUCCUCUACAUUAAUGAAGAUUAAAGUGUAAGAAAGGGCAGUCAUCAGUGGAACGGAUAAUUAAUGAUGAUUGAUGAUUUACUUUUAAUUUAAGCCCCACCAUUAAUUCAGAUGAACACAAAUACAAGAUCACUACUCAACACAUGUUAAGCUCGCCUCCUGAUUCACUUGGAUGUGAUGGAUAGCUUUGAAUGAGAGCACCUGAGCGUGCUGUAAAGGGCUUAAUUAAAACCAGCAAAAUCGUCAACGCCUGUUCCUUAGGUGAGAUCGGAUACCAGGCCUGCAUUGAUCUGGAGCAGCGCUGUGCUAAAGUCCUCCUUAGGAAAAAAUCGAAAAGAAAGAGAUUGUCAACAAGCAUAUGAAGAGAUGCUCCAUAUCACUCAUCAUUAGGGAAAUGCCAAUAAAAAACCACCAGGAGAUAUCAUCUCACUCCUGUCAGAAUGGCUAUCACCAAAAAGACAAGAGAUAACACGUGCUGGUGAGGCAUUUUUUAUGACAGCCAAGACAUGGAAAUAACCUAAGUGUCCUUCAAUGGAUUAAAGAAAAUAUUAUAUAAAUGUCUCCAUACUGGAAUAUUAUUCAGCCAUAAAAAGGAAAUUCUUCCAUUUGCAAAGACAUCAAUGAAACUUGGGUGCAUUACUCUAAAUGAUACAAACCAAACGGAAAAAGACAAAUACCAAAUUCAUUAUAUUCUCACUUAUAUGUGGAAUCUAAAAAACCAAGCUCAUGAAUACAGAUCACUGGUUGCCAGAGUUAGGAGAUAAGAAGGCGGACAAAAUGGAUGAAGGCAGUCAAAAGGCACAAACUUUCAGGUAUAAAACGAAGGUUAAGGGACUGUGAUGUACAGCUGGGUGACUAAAGUUCAUAAUACUGUAUAGAAGAUCUUACAAGUUCUCAUCAUAAGAAAAUAAAACUUUGUCAUUAGGUGUUGGGUGUUAACUAACCUUAUAUGGUCAUCAUUUUUCAAUAUAAAUAUAUCAAAUCAUGAUGUACACCUGAAACUAACACAUUGUAUAUGUUAAUUACAUGUCUCAAUAA